GACAGAGGGUGCAACCGUUGUUCGGAAUUACUGGGCGUAAAGCGUGUGUAGGCGGUCGACUAAGUCGGAUGUGAAAGCCCUGGGCUCAACCCAGGAAGUGCACUCGAAACUGGUCGGCUAGAGUAUCGGAGAGGUUGGUGGAAUUCUCGGUGUAGAGGUGAAAUUCGUAGAUAUCGAGAGGAACACCGGUGGCGAAGGCGGCCAACUGGACGAAUACUGACGCUGAGACACGAAAGCGUGGGGAGCAAACAGG
rnacentral:rRNA from 1 species